rnacentral:rRNA from 1 species
UUGGGUCAAAGAGACUCAUAGGUGUUAUAAAGACUCGCUGGUGUUUGUCUCCUUGAGGCAUACGGCUUUAACCAAAACUCUCAAAGUUUGACCUCAAAUCAGGUAGGAGUACCCGCUGAACUUAAGCAUAUCAAUAAGCGGAGGAAAAGAAACCAACCGGGAUUGCCUUAGUAACGGCGAGUGAAGCGGCAAAAGCUCAAAUUUGAAAUCUGGCGUCUUCGACGUCCGAGUUGUAAUUUGAAGAAGGCGACUUUGUAGCUGGUCCUUGUCUAUGUUCCUUGGAACAGGACGUCAUAGAGGGUGAGAAUCCCGUGUGGCGAGGAUCCCAGUUAUUUGUAAAGUGCUUUCGACGAGUCGAGUUGUUUGGGAAUGCAGCUCUAAGUGGGUGGUAAAUUCCAUCUAAAGCUAAAUAUUGGCGAGAGACCGAUAGCGAACAAGUACAGUGAUGGAAAGAUGAAAAGAACUUUGAAAAGAGAGUGAAAAAGUACGUGAAAUUGUUGAAAGGGAAGGGCAUUUGAUCAGACAUGGCGUUUGCUUCGGCUUUCGCUGGGCCAGCAUCAGUUUUAGCGGUUGGAUAAAUCCUCGGGAAUGUGGCUCUGCUUCGGUAGAGUGUUAUAGCCCGUGGGAAUACAGCCAGCUGGGACUGAGGAUUGCGACUUUUGUCAAGGAUGCUGGCGUAAUGGUUAAAUGCCGCCCGUCUUGAAACACGGACCAAGGAGUCUAACGUCUAUGCGAGUGUUUGGGUGUAAAACCCGUACGCGUAAUGAAAGUGAACGUAGGU